GUCUCUGUGGCGGCUUAAUCGGUUAGCCGUUAGGCUGUUAACCAAAGGAUGGUGGUUCGAGCCCACCCAGGGACG